GACGAACGCUGGCGGCGUGCUUAACACAUGCAAGUCGAGCGGUAAGGCCCUUUCGGGGUACGACGAGCGGCGAACGGGUGAGUAACACGUGGGUGGACCUCGCCCUUACGCUCUGGGAGUAAGCCUGGGAAACGUAGGGUCGUAAUACCGGAUAUGACUCCAUGACGCAUGUUGUGGGGUGGGAAAGCCUUGUGCGGCUAGGGAUGGGCCCGCGGCCUAUCAGCUUGUUGGUGGGGUGAUGGCCUACCAAGGCGACGACGGGUAGCCGGCCUGAGAGGGCGACCGG
rnacentral:rRNA from 1 species